UGUCCCUAACACCUCCGAAGCUGUGCCGAGCUCAGGGGCGAGGCACGCAGAGGAGGCCUGCACCUCAGAGGGGUGGGGGAAGAUACCCUUCGGGCCACUGCGCAGCGACGCGAUUAUCGUCGAGCCCCCUAUCGCGGGGUUACCGGUGAUCUCGUCCGCUCCCAGCCGGAUACCUCGUUCCAUUCAAAGGCGCCCCUGGCGUGGGUGUCUACCGAAGGCGAUCCAUACUUCAUUCUCGACAACGUCAACGAGCGAGAUGUCUGGGCUGAGUUCCAGGCACAGGACCAUGUAAGGGCAUUGGCCUCUUCUUUGCUGAGGUUGCUUGUCCCUUAGCAUGUGGUGAUGGGAGUUUCGUUUCUUUACAUGAUCUCAUGCUGCGGUCUAUUGCUAAGUCCAUCUUCCCCCGCCGCGAACGGGGGGUCUGGGAAGCACUGCAGCGCCACCGAACCAUGUUGCUUCGAUCGAACGAGUAGUUGGCCUAGAGGAGCGCCGAAGUGGCCAACCUGACGUCCCGGUGCAAGGGACUGAAGGAGGAGGGUGUAGCCGACCGCAAGGAGGCCUGUCGACUGAGGGCUGAGGUCCUUGGUCUGAAGGCAGAGGCAGACCACCGUGAGGAGGUGCUACGGUGGGCGCAGGAGGGCCUCCAAGCGGUGACGGAGGAACGUAACUCCCUCGCCAAGUCCCUGGAGGACGACUGGUCCUCGGGUCAAGCCCUGGCCGCCCAAAUAGAAGGUCUUGAGAAGAGUCUGGAGGGCAUGGCUUGGACCGUGGAGCAACAGGGGGCCGAGGCGGUGGCAGACCUCUUUCAAGACCUCGAUGUGGUGGGCAUGCCGCGGGUUGGACCCAUGCGGCCUUGCAUGCAAGCCCUGGGCGACUUCGUAUGGGGUGAGCUCCGCAGGGCUGUCCACCUCGGGUGAAGCGAGCCCUGGUGGUGGUCGCUUCCCACUACGAGAUUGACCUCGAGCGGGUGUGCGACGGCUUCGUACUUCCCGACAAGCCCGAGCUGGCUGCUGCUGAAGGGCAGAGGCUGAUGGACGUCGUCGAGGGGCCGAGGACUUUGUGGGCUCGUCACUUCGAGGACGAGGCGGUGCCUCUUUCCCCAUCGCAUGUGGCCGCCGAGCCUCCUGCGAGACCUCCUCCAGCGGCGUGAAGAUGGCCCUAGCCAUGCGGGGAAUUAUCAAUGUUUUUGUAAUAUAUGCUAAGACUCUUUGCAAAUACUAAGUGUUUAAACUCA